GGUACCCUUAGCUCAGCUGGUUAGAGUGUCGGAUUGUGGUUCCGAAGGUCGUGGGUUCGAGCCCCACCGGGUACCCCCA
rnacentral:tRNA from 1 species